GCAAACUUGGUCAUUUAGAGGAAGUAAAAGUCGUAACAAGGUUUCCGUAGGUGAACCUGCGGAAGGAUCAUUGUUGAAUUAAAAAAAGGGGGCGUGCAGGUUGGCUCAGCACCAAUGGCAACAUUGUGUUGCGGGCCCUUGUGCGUUUCUCAUCCACACCCACAACCCCUGUGCACCUUUUGGGAAAAGGGACCAAGGUUGAGAGACCUUUGUUUCCUGAUCCCAGCAUUUUUUUUACAAACUCCGUAAUCAUCUCUUAGAAUGUUUGGCAGUGAAUGCUGUCCUAAAUUAAUUAACAACUUUCAACAACGGAUCUCUUGGCUCUCGCAUCGAUGAAGAACGCAGC
rnacentral:misc_RNA from 1 species